CUCUCUCCCUUCUCUCUGUGCCGCAUAAGUAUAUAUUGAUAUAUUGAAUUAAAACUGGUGCUGUUAUUGGAUUUGAAGUGGAUAUUUUGUGUUAUUUUUAUUAGCUUUAAUUCUUAUUACCUCCGCUGAUUGCCUUUUUUGUUUAAUUGUCGACAUUUAAGUUCUUUCCUCUUUUACAUUCUUAGCUACAGACUUUGUUGGGUGAAAACUUUUAUCUGUUACACAUAACUUGAUGGAAUUAAGGGAAGUAAGGAGCUUGAUUUUUUUUGUCUGCAACAGAUUCUUUGCUAACCUGGGUAGUUAAUUCAAUGAGAUUAUCCAUGUGGCCUACCGUAGCUGUGGAGAUGUUCUAAGCUCUUGAAAAGAUAACAUUUUUCGUGGGAUAGGACUAUCACUUUUUAAUUAAUGGAGGUCUUAGCUUUAGGCUGGAGCAAACUGGGAAAAUGAAUUCAGUAAUCUAUCUUUAGGCUGGAGCAAACUGGGAAUUGUGAAUCUAUAUUUACACUAUGACGUGGUUCGCAUACAAUGGUGUACUUCUGAGCAUCAUUCUGAUUAAUUGUGAAUCUGUGACCUCCACUGCUGUUUAUGAUGGAUUGGUGAUGUGGGUUCUACAAUUUCUACUGUCAGAGGCACCUCAAUGUUAUCUAGUACUCCGAAGUAUCUGAUUUAAGGAGCGCACUUUCACCUCUGUGUAUAUAUAUAUAUAUUUAAUUAAGAUAUCCUAUAGUAGUAUUAUUUUCACUAUUUUUUCUUGCUAGGAAGUAGGAACUUGACAUUUUUGGCCUUUUUGAGCGUUUAGUUAUUGCGAUGGUACUGAAUUUGCAUUAUUUUGUGCCUGGACUUGGGGAAUUCAAAUCUAUCUGGACAUUUAGUUCCCGAACUUGGGAAGCUAGAGCACUUGCAAUAUUCUGGAGCCUUACAAAAAGUCAAAAACAACAUUCAAGGAACUAUUCCUGCUGAGCUUGGUUACUUGAAGAGUCUCGUCAGCUUGGACUUGUAUAACAACAUCUUUGGGACUAUUCCUCCUUCGCUGGGAAAGUUGAAGUCUCUUGUGUUUCUACGGCUUAACGACAAUCGAUUAGCUGGUCCAAUCUCCAGAGCAUUUGUGGGUAUUUCUAGCCUCAAAAUUGUGGAUGUCUCAAACAAUGAUUUGUGUGAAACAAUUCCCACCAGUUGACCAUUUGCACACACCCCUUUGAACAAGGUUACUUUGGAGCUUUGGGGAUCUGCAGUGCUUUUGUUCUGACUAUCUUUCCGAACUCUUUUUCAUGCUUCCACCUCAUUGUGCACUCCUGUUCACAGUGGGAGUUCAAUGGGUGACUUUGAUGGCUGAACAGUAAGAAGGUUUGUUUGUGUUCGAAGUGAGUAUUGUCAUUGGCCGUUGGAUAAGUCAUGAAUGCAUGAGUUCAUUAAUUGGGAUGGAAAGGUUGGGCUUAUGAUUAUUGUUCUCUCUAUGUUUUUUUUGUAUUUUUGUAUGGGUAAACUUUAUUCUGUUGAGUGUUUUUUAAAAAAAAAAAAAAAUUGGGUGCUUUGGAGUUUAGAUUCUCUUUUGUGAUUUAAUUUUUUUGUUAUAUCAGGGAAAAUUUAGAGAAUGCUACUGCCGAGCAAAUUAUUCCAAAUACAUUGUCCUCAAUAGUUCGCUGGAUCUAUUGCACAGCAUUGAUACUGAAAAAUUAUGCAUACAUUCACGUUAUUAUGUCAUUCAUGCCAAUUAUAUCUUAUUAUAAAUUUGAUGAUGGGAAAAACGUCGUUUGACAUAAUAAAGGAGCUAAGCAGGUAAAAUUGAAAAACUAUUAUUGCUUCUUGCUUUGGUUGAUGUUUUGAGUUUGAAUCAUAAAGAUAAGCUGUAUGUUAAUGUUAAUGUUCAAGUGAGAGGUUACUAAAUCGUAUAAACUGAUUUCAAAUUUUUGCUAUGUUACAGUAAUUUAUCUUUUAUAUCUGAUCAAUGUUCUUUGAGAAAUUUGGUUUUUUUUUUUUUUAAAAGGAGAUGAUAUAUCUUUGAGAAAUUUCUCCUUUUUUUUUUAAUAAAAAAGGGAGAAAUUUGAUAGUUAUCUGACUUUAUGCCGUGUCUUUUGGUGGAUUGGCUCAUAUUACUGAAUUCUGCUGCAAAACAACUUCUUAGAAGAUAUGUUGCUCGAAGAUUAGCUCAACUUGAAGGGCUCUUCCAUGAUUAAAUGACUGCUUAGUAGUUGUAGUAGAGAUCAGGGCUGCAUUGCUGGGGUGAUGACCAACUUUCCCUUCUGCAGGACGAAAAUAAUUGGAUGGAUUCCCAUUUCCGGCCUUUUUCAGGAUUUGAACUGUCAGAUUAUUUGCUCAAAAAAUUUGCUCAAAAAAAAAAACUUGAAUUUAAUGUUGGAGCUAACUUUCCAAAGUUUCCAAAUAAGAAAAAAUAUUAAGCACAUGCCUUCACAUUUUUUCCAGCGUUUUCAUUUGUUCUGAAUUGCAGGAACUUGAGGAUUGAAAAUUUCUCCUUGAUUGGCCUCAUGUCUAUGAGAUUGGUGCUACCAAUAUGUGUAAUAUGCAAACCUGUACUAUCCCCGAGCUUGACCUCAUGGGAACCAUCGUACUCUGAGUGAAAUGAAAGAUUGUUAAAAUCCUGAGCCAUAUUGUGGCUAGCACCCGAGUCCAAGAGCCAUUGUGGUUAUGAUGAAGUGGUAGAUGAGGCUGAAGCAAAAUUGGAUGUGGCAGCUGGAGGAGGAGCAGGGUAAUUGGAGUAUAUUUUGAACUUUCUGCAGGUUGUACCUGCAUGGCUGGGCUUUUCACAAAGCUGACAAACCAGUCUGGGUGGUCCCCGACCACGACCUCUGCCACGAUGACCAUGAAAAGGUGGACGGGAACCAGACCAUUGAGAAUUUGAUUUAUUGUUGUGCCAAGGUUGAGAAGAAUUUUGACCAUGAGAAGAUUGAUUUUGGUAAGAACCCUAUUGUCUCUGAUGAAAAUUAGCAGACGCAAGAGACAGAUAUGGAGGAGUAUUAAUUCGAGUGA